rnacentral:rRNA from 1 species
UGGCUCAGAUUGAACGCUGGCGGCAGGCCUAACACAUGCAAGUCGAGCGGCAGCGGGUCCUUCGGGAUGCCGGCGAGCGGCGGACGGGUGAGUAAUGCCUAGGAAUCUGCCUGGUAGUGGGGGAUAACGCUCGGAAACGGACGCUAAUACCGCAUACGUCCUACGGGAGAAAGCAGGGGACCUUCGGGCCUUGCGCUAUCAGAUGAGCCUAGGUCGGAUUAGCUAGUUGGUGAGGUAAUGGCUCACCAAGGCGACGAUCCGUAACUGGUCUGAGAGGAUGAUCAGUCACACUGGAACUGAGACACGGUCCAGACUCCUACGGGAGGCAGCAGUGGGGAAUAUUGGACAAUGGGCGAAAGCCUGAUCCAGCCAUGCCGCGUGUGUGAAGAAGGUCUUCGGAUUGUAAAGCACUUUAAGUUGGGAGGAAGGGC